UUCUACCUUAACUUGGGCCCAAUUUGGAGUGCUUGAACAUACUCUCUUUCGAGUCUUCAACCUCACCUACCCCUUUCUCUCUCGCUUUCUUUAGAUCUCUCUCAUUCUAAGCAAUCGAUUACGAUUCGUCUUCAUCUUACCAAUUCAAAGCAUCAGAUCGCAGCCAUGGUGAAUGAAAAUCCUUUCAAGAGCAUAUUGAAAACUCUCGAGAGACCUGAUGGUGGUGAAUUCGGCAAGUACUAUAGUUUGCCUGCUCUCAACGACCCCAGAAUCGAUAAGCUGCCAUAUUCAAUCAGGAUCCUUUUGGAGUCUGCUAUUCGAAACUGUGAUGAGUUUCAGGUUAAAAGUAAGGAUGUUGAGAAGAUCAUUGACUGGGAGAAUACCUCUCCUAAACAAGUUGAGAUCCCAUUUAAGCCUGCCAGAGUACUCCUUCAGGAUUUUACUGGGGUUCCUGCUGUUGUUGAUCUUGCCUGCAUGCGAGAUGCCAUGAACAGCCUUGGAGGCGAUUCUAAUAAAAUCAAUCCGCUGGUUCCUGUUGAUCUUGUUAUUGAUCACUCAGUUCAGGUUGAUGUGGCAAGAUCAGAAAAUGCAGUGCAGGCUAAUAUGGAACUUGAGUUUCAAAGGAACAAAGAAAGGUUCGCCUUUCUCAAAUGGGGUUCAAAUGCGUUCCAUAACAUGCUUGUUGUUCCUCCUGGAUCUGGCAUAGUCCACCAGGUCAAUUUGGAAUAUCUUGGUAGAGUUGUAUUCAACACAAAUGGGAUUCUUUACCCUGACAGUGUAGUUGGAACAGAUUCACACACAACUAUGAUAGAUGGAUUAGGUGUUGCCGGUUGGGGAGUUGGUGGAAUAGAAGCAGAAGCUGCAAUGCUUGGCCAGCCCAUGAGCAUGGUCUUGCCUGGAGUGGUUGGGUUUAAGUUGUCAGGAAAACUGAGGGAUGGUGUUACAGCCACUGAUUUGGUUUUGACAGUUACACAAAUGCUGAGGAAGCAUGGGGUUGUUGGCAAGUUUGUGGAGUUCUAUGGAGAAGGCAUGGGUGAACUGUCACUAGCAGAUCGUGCUACCAUUGCAAACAUGUCUCCUGAGUAUGGUGCAACCAUGGGCUUUUUUCCUGUGGAUCAUGUUACACUGCAUUAUCUCAAAUUAACAGGCAGAAGUGAUGACACUGUCUCUAUGAUAGAAUCCUACUUAAGAGCCAACAAGAUGUUUGUCGACUAUAGUGAGCCCCAGAUUGAGAGGGUAUACUCCUCAAAUCUAGAAUUGAAUCUUGAGGAUGUGGAACCCUGUGUUUCAGGGCCGAAGAGGCCUCAUGAUCGAGUUCCUUUGAAGGAAAUGAAAGCAGAUUGGCAUUCAUGCUUAGACAGUAAGGUUGGAUUUAAGGGAUUUUCUAUACCAAAGGAAUCUCAGGGCAAAGUUGCAGAAUUCAGUUUUCAUGGCACUCCAGCACAACUUAGGCAUGGUGAUGUGGUUAUAGCUGCUAUUACUAGUUGCACUAAUACUUCGAACCCUAGUGUAAUGCUUGGAGCUGCAUUGGUUGCACAGAAGGCUUGUGAACUAGGAUUGGAGGUAAAACCAUGGGUUAAAACAAGUCUUGCUCCAGGUUCUGGGGUUGUGACCAAGUACUUGGAAAAGAGUGGCCUGCAGAAGUAUUUGAAUCAAUUAGGGUUUCAUAUAGUUGGUUAUGGAUGCACCACUUGCAUUGGCAAUUCAGGUGAUAUUGAUGAAGCAGUGGCAUCAGCUAUUACUGAAAAUGAUUUAGUGGCAGCAGCUGUAUUGUCUGGGAAUAGGAAUUUUGAGGGUCGUGUACAUCCUUUAACAAGAGCUAAUUAUCUUGCGUCACCUCCACUUGUGGUUGCCUACGCACUUGCUGGCACGUAUUUAUCUCAUAGGUGGGCAAUGCUGCAGGUAGAUAUUGAUUUUGAAACAGAACCAAUUGGGGUAGGAAAAGAUGGAAAGGAAGUAUUUUUCAGGGAUAUUUGGCCAUCCAAUGAAGAAGUGGCAAAAGUUGUGCAAUCAAAUGUGCUGCCUGAUAUGUUCAAGGCUACUUAUGAGGCAAUCACUAAGGGAAAUCCCAUGUGGAACCACUUAUCUGUACCUUCUGGCACUCUCUACUCGUGGGAUCCAACAUCAACAUACAUACAUGAACCACCCUAUUUCAAAAGCAUGACCAUGUCACCUCCAGGACCGCAUGGUGUGAAAGAUGCUUAUUGCUUGCUCAAUUUUGGGGAUAGUAUUACAACUGAUCACAUUUCACCAGCUGGUAGCAUCCACAAAGACAGUCCUGCUGCCAGAUACCUCAUGGAACAUGGUGUUGACAGAAGGGACUUCAACUCUUAUGGAAGUCGCCGUGGUAAUGAUGAGGUGAUGGCAAGGGGCACCUUUGCCAACAUUCGUAUCGUCAACAAACUGCUGGGAGGAGAAGUUGGACCUAAGACAGUACAUAUCCCCAGUGGAGAGAAACUCUCUGUUUUUGAUGUGUCCAUGACUUGUGAGCUAUGUCAGUUGCAUUUUUUUUUUCUUUUUAUUACAGAGAUACAAGAGUGAGGGACAUGAUACAAUUAUCUUGGCUGGUGCUGAGUAUGGGAGCGGGAGUUCUCGAGAUUGGGCUGCCAAGGGUCCAAUGCUAUUGGGUGUGAAAGCAGUGAUAGCAAAGAGCUUUGAGCGAAUUCAUCGCAGUAAUUUGGUCGGCAUGGGUAUUAUUCCAUUAUGUUUUAAGCCUGGUGAGGAUACUGAGACACUUGGAUUGACUGGCCAUGAACGCUACAGCAUCGAACUUCCAAGCAGUGUGAGCGAAAUUAGACCUGGCCAAGAUAUCACAGUUGUGACAGACAAUGGGAAGUCAUUCACGUGUACUUUACGUUUUGAUACAGAGGUGGAACUGGCUUAUUUUGAUCAUGGAGGCAUUUUGCAAUAUGUCAUUAGGAACCUGAUUUCUGCAAAACAAUGAAAUGGCGAGGGCUUAAUUAUCAAUAAGUUGGGUUUGCAGCUGGGAACCAAAUGAUUAAUAAAAGAGUUGGAUACACGAGAUGUCCGUUUCAUUUUAGAGCAGUCAUUUUAUGAAUAAAUGAAGAACGUGAAAAGGGAAUAUUGGAGGGUUGACAAAUUAACUCCAACAUCCAGGUCACCGUGGAUAUUUAACAUUGAACAUUGGAUUUUUGGAUGAAGGAGAAAACACAAUCCAGUGGUUUGUAUUGUUUGGUUAACAAAUGAGUAAUUGAACCAAUGGUCUGGUAUCUUAAAUUUUUAUAAAAUGCUGCAAGGCUGCUACUGUAUUUCAAAGCUGCUUAUUGUUACUGUGGGAUAUUUUCUUUGCAAGAUGGUAUUGAUUGGUCCA